rnacentral:lncRNA from 1 species
GCUAGGGGCGGCCUCGGGCAGGCCCCGCGCCUUCCGCACCCCCUCUCCAGACCUGGGGGGACGCCUGGAUCCCAGGCCCCGGUGACAGGCGCUGGAGACCCCCCAACCCCUGCCCGGCCGGUAACCGCGCCCUUACCUGGGCUGGGUCCCACGCGGAUCUCUCCUCGAGCUGAGCGGAGAGCAGGCUGCCCGCCUCGCUGUGGGCAGAGGACCUUCUCCAGUCAUAAAUCAAACCCAGCCGUCCUCGGGCCUCCUCCCUCAUUAGAGAUGUUUAUUGGAGAUCGUGUUUAUUCGGCUGUCACGGCGAGAAAACGCGGUGACAUAAUCGCCUCUGACCGAGUCCUCGCGGUGGCCUCGCCGCUGCCCUCGCGAUCGCAGGGCGGGUGUGGCUGGGUUGGCUCUUUUCCCUGGAGUUCUCGUACAAUUUGGAUUAUUGGAGCAAUUGCUGUUCAAAAGUCCCCAAGGCCUGGGCUUUUAUGUAUUUGUUUUAGGGUUUGAGAGGCACCCUGGAGGGGACCCAGCCUCCCUCCAGGGCAGAGGAGGCGCGUGGGAGUCUCUCGGCUCCGGCUCCGUAAACUUCCGGCAGCCCGGCAGUGGCGCGGGCGACCCAGGGUCUGAAGCCCACAUUGGCGGUGUGGCUCGCGGCUUCCCUUUCGACUGCGUCGGGAGGCGUCAGGGCCCCUCGGCCGCCCCGGUCCGCCCCCGGGCAUUUGGUUCUCCCCUGCGCACAGUCUGGAAGUCAGCAUCUGUGAGACCUGGUUAGGAGAUGAUGAAAAGCCCCGAAUUGUUCUCUAAUUGAAAAUACAAUUUUUUUGAGUGCCUUGCUGACAAAGUACCUGGGACCCUGGCUUUUGAUCCCUGGCUGCUGCCUCUGCUCUCCGGUCGCUAAUAAAACCCUCAUUGAGCCCCUCAGUGCUUUGAUUAACAGGCAGAUUAACGCUUACGGGGCUGGGAACAGCUUGUCCCAGUCAAUGCCAUCCUAAAAGCCGAUCGGGAUGCACUCAGCUCCGGCGGCUGUGGAGAGCCAGCCCUGAGGUUCGCUCUCCUCCCCCGGCUCCGGGAGCACAGCCUGGGGCUGGGUCCUGCGCCCUCGGGACCGGCAGCUGUGGAGGGAGGAGGGGCCGUGGCGUUGGCUUGCUGCUCCCAGGAAGCCCAACUCCUGCCUCUGGGGGCAGAGGUCGAGAGCAGCAGAGGUGGGGGGGGGGGGUCUGUCCUGGGCUGACGGAGUCCGAGCAAACUUUCCCAGGAAUCCUGUUUGCAAGACUGCCAGGGCGCUGCGCGCAAGGCCCGCUCACCGCAGGAGCUUUAACAUGGGGCCGCGGGGCGUUGGGAGUUAGACCCUGGGCUGCUCUGGGGGACCCAACGGAAAGUACCGUUUCUAAGCGGGGGGAGGGGGGCAGAAGCAGAAGGAAGCCGGCUGCCCAGUGUCCUUGGAAGGGAGGCAGCUCGGAGCACAGCCGGUGCAGAGGCGAGAAAGGGCCGGGGCGCCACGGCUUCGCCAGCCAAGCUUGGCCGCGCUUGGAGGCCUCUGAGCUUGGCGAGGAUGAUCAGGAGCUGAGCAGGCUGGCGCCGCGCCUCUGCUGGCCACAGGGACAGCAGAAGUUCAGGAUGCGGGGACACCGGUGGACAACCCUGACUUCAGAGGCUGAGAGCCAAAAGUACGUCCCGGAGCUGAGCGGCACCCUGGGGACGGGGAACCUGGAGCCCAGCCGGGGCUGGGGGCUGGCGGAAAGGGGGCUGUGGCCCCGAGCACGCUCUUGCCCCGGCUCCAGGA